rnacentral:lncRNA from 1 species
ACUUAACCCCUGGCGGGCGGCGGGCGCUCCGCUUCGCCUGCUGCCGCUCGAGGGGCGCCAGCGCCGCUUGCCAGCGCAGCCUCUGCCCGCCGCGCCGCGCUCCGCUCCGCAGCCGGGGCGCCCUUCUUCCGAGGCCGGCUGCACUCGCUCCAGAGCCGCCUCGGGAGUCUCCGGCUGCGGAGCGCGGGGCGGAGGCUUGAGCGGCUUCUCCUCCCUCCGCUUCUUUCUUCGAAGCUUUCCCGGCGGGAACCCAAGACGCGAAGAGGGGAGCCCCAAGGAAGGAGCGGGAGACGGGGCGAUCUGCCGUCCCCGAGAGCCACCCGCUUGCCUUCGCGACUUCGGAUGAAAGCAGCGCGCCAGAAGACGAGGUCCACGUGGGGAUGCAGUCCUGGUCCAGCGAGAGGAGGCUUCGGGGUCCGGGCAUCUGGGGCGGGGCCUCUUAAUUCUUGGGGAGCCCUCGAAACGGGGGCGGGGGAGGGAAGAAGAGGAAGAAAGGAGCCCCGUUGCAGCCCAGGCAUAGGAGCCAACUCCUAGGAGGCCCCCCCAAUAUCGUAAGGGGCUGCCCCCCAAAGUUGAUGGGUGUUGCCCUAACCCUAACCCUAACCAAAUAGUGUGGGUGUGCUGCUUCUUGCGAUCGAUUAUGUGGGGUGGAGUUUGCCUGGCCACCCCCAGUAUUUUAUUCAAGUUGGUACCCGUGAUCCCCUUCUUCGCUUGCCUUGCUAGCCCUGCUUGGUUGCUUUCCGACUCGUGCGCUCCAACCUGAGCGGGGCUGGGUCGCAGUUCCCUUGUUCAGCCCCGUAUCUCAGGCAUGGAGCAAUUCCGUGGAACAGUUGUAGGGAAGAAGAAGGGGGUUUGUGCCAUGGGCGUAGCCAAGGGGGCUGGGGGGGCAGUCCCCCCAUCAGUACAAAUCAAUACAAAUUCGAGGUUCUAUCCCCUCUAAAAAGCCUGCGCCCCCCAUAUCAUGGUUAUGCCCCUGGUCUGUGCCCAAGCUGCCCUCGGAGAAUGGGCUCCUCCCCUUUCGUAUGCUUCACACUUGCACGUCUGAGGUUUAGCUGCCCAUGAAAAAUGCACCUUCCAAGCGCACUGGGACACGUGUUUGUUAAAAUUAAUUUAUUUAUCACAUUUAUUUCCUGCCUUUCCUCCCAAAGGAGCCCAGGGAGGUUGAUUAUACAGAGCCAAACUUAAAUGUCGUCUGUCCCAAUCGUAUCUGAAGUGGGGUAUGAGUCUGACACAGUGCCGGAUUUACAUAUAAGCUAAAAAAAGCUAUAGCUUAGGGCCUCUCUCUCUUGGGGGCCCCCAAAAAAAUUUGAAGGCAAAAAAAGCUGGAUGCACAUUUCCAAAAUAUGAGAUAAAAAACAAAUAAAAUAAAAUCUACCUACAGCAACAUUAUGUAUUAAUAAUUAUUUGACAAUUAAUAUACUUCUUAAUUGUAUUUCAGUUCAACAAUUACUUUGAUAAAAUACAUAUUUUGUUAUGUGCAAAUGGUUUUAGAUACCUAUUAGAUCCAUAAAUUACCAUACAGCAUAUAUUCAACACAAAAAACAGCUACAAUUUGUUGUUAGCAAAGGACAGCUGGACAUAUAAAGGGCCCCAUUACCUUCAGGAGCUUAGGGCCUCAUCAAACCUAAAUCUGGACCUGGUCUGACAUAUAUUGAAUGAUCAGACAAGACACAUAUUGAAUAAUCAGGCAGACACAUAUGGAAAGAUGCCACCAUGUAUAGGCCACGCAUAUCUGAAAGCCAGAUUGGCUAUAGCACUCUGAGUGUAUGCUUGGAGAGGAACCCAGGUUUUCUACCAUGCACCAGGGGUGCAAGGGGCUUCAGCCCACUAAGUAUUUUGAAGCAUGGGGCUCAGCCCCCCCCCCAAUAUUGAGGGGGCUGACAUCCCCUGCUGCCUCCGGGCACCCCCUGCACGCCCCAGCCCCCAUCCGGAAGCCAGGAGGGGGCUGGGAUGAGCGAGGGCAAAGAUCGACCUCCGCGUGUCCCACCCGGGCCCAGUGCACGCCAUGGGGAGAAGGAGGUGGAGCACGGCAGCUGGGCUCUGCUCUCUGUCUCCUCCUCCCUGCCUGAUGUCGCAUGCGGAGAAGGAGGCCAAGCAUGGAGCAGCUCCGCUCUCCCCAUUUCUCAGCGUGCAAGCGCCAGCGGUGGGACAUGUCACGUGACAUCACAUGAUGUGUCACAUGAUGCGGCCCCCCCUAAUGUGGGGGGCAAGUAGGCGCCCCUGCUACCAUGUAGCCCUAAGUGACCACAACGUGUUCACACAUAUCUGGGAUUGAAGGGACAACCUUGAAUUUGAGUAGGGGUCUUAUAGUACCAACACAUUGUAAAUUUUGAAGUGAAUGGGUCUCAUCAUGACAGCUUCCAAUGUCCUCAAGGAGAGACUCAACAUGUAGGCUGCCAUGCUGAUGUUCAUUCUCUCUCUCGCAAACACAUACACAGAGAGAGAGAGAGAUGGCAAAACAUAGCAUAAUAUCCAAUUUAUUAAGAUCAGCAUGACAUGCUUAGUUUUCUGGAAGUAAACUCAAUUUAACUCAGUAUUGCUUCUGACUGCAUAGGUUCAGCUUGUAAAAUACACUGAGCUUUAACAAAAGACCUUCAGGCACCUGAAGUAUAAUCUGUGGUUCUUAAUUAGAAAUGCAAACCAUUUUGCAAAAAAAAAGUGUUACUAGUAUGAGGUGGGAACCGCAUCAGAGAAAAGGAAAUAAGUUUCCUGUUUCUGUUUGCUUGUAUUUCACAUUCUUCAACUUAUUUUAUGUUAACCUGUAGCAAACGUGACAUGAAGGCUGGCAUCCUCAGCCCCACCAUGUGGUCGUCCCUGGCAGACGACCGCAGUGCCUGGAGACAGACAGACAGGUCAUGCAGUGACCAGAGGAGGAAUGACUGUUGGGAGGAGUGCAGGGAGAAGAAAUGCCAUGGUACACCUCCAUUAGGACAAAUGGAUGUCUUCAUCUGCUCCUGCUGCAACAAAACAUGUCUCUCCCAUAUCAGUUUCUACAGCCACAGCAGGCACUACAACCUUAGCAGUUUGACUUCACCACCAAAGAUGUUUGCCUCCCUUGUCUCCUGAGACAGAUGGAUGCCAGCCAAUCAGAAAGCAAACAAAUUUGGAAGCCUCACUGUCACCUAUUUCAAGGAGUGCCCACCAACAAGCAGACGCCAUAAUUACUCCUGCUCAGGGAAAAAGUCCAGAAGCCGUCAUUUCCUUCCACAACACCAAUGCUUUAUCAUUUCCCUCUCUCUUAUUUUUGAAAUGGAACAAUUCUCCCACACCAAUACAUUGGUUAGUGGAUUUGUUUCCAGCAACUUCACAGCAGCUGCCUGCUCCAAUUAAUGUUCAAGACUUAAUGUAGCAAAAGAUUAAAGCAAAAUAGUUGUCGCUGUUCAAAACUAAUGUACAGCCUGUUCCAUAAUCCAGUGAAGCUGAAGGGCUUGGCUUAACUUCAGUGAUGGGCCUGAACUAGCUUUGGGCCAAGAAUUUCACUUUAACCAGGUCAGUGUGGAUCAGUUCCACUAAAGUUGGGCAACUGGAUUCAGACAGCACUUAAAAGAGAGUUGCUUAAUUUAAUCUGGCUUGUUUUGUGGGUUGCAUACAUCUAUGUGUGGUGCACUAGCACGUGUUGUUUAUAGGCUACAACUACAAAGUGCAUUUGUCCAGGCAGAACCUCAUAUGCCUCUGGUGAGCAUAACAAUAAUCUUUUUGGAUCAGACCAAAGCGCACACCGAAGUCAGUGCUCUGUUCCCAGCAGCGGGGAAACACCAAGCAGGGCACAAAGGCAAAAGCUUUCUCUUGGUGAUUAUUUCCAGAAGUUGGUGUCCCGAGGUAUACUAUUCCCUUUAGGUUCCAUAGAACUAUUAUGGCUGUUAUCACUGUGGGUGGCUCCAUCCUCCGUGAAAUUGUACAAUAUCCACAAUAUCAUUAAAGUUAGUGGGUGCCACUACAUCUUAUAGUAGGAAGCCCCAUAGAUUACAGUGGUACCUUGGGUUACAUACGCUUCAGGUUACAUACGCUUCAUGUUACAGACUCCGCUGACCCAGAAAUAUUACCUUGGGUUAAGAACUUUGCUUCAGGAUGAGAACAGAAAUCGUGCUUUGGCGGCACGGCGGCAGCAGGAGGCCCCAUUAGCUAAAGUGGUGCUUCAGGUUAAGAACAGUUUCAGGUUAAGAACGGACCUCCGGAACGAAUUAAGUUCUUAACCCGAGGUACCACUGUAGCUGUAUCUUGUUUGAAUUUGUUGGCAAUUAGUUUGAUUUGGUGACCCUGAGCUGUCCUCUUAUGAGAGGGGGAAAUUAUGCGUGGAUGAGCAAAGCUAAAUCUAAAUCUGCUUGAGAUUCCUACACCAGACCAGCUCAGUUGCUGGUGUGGCCAUUCUGCAAAUAUCCAGAGAAGUGUUUACAGCACACUUUGCCUGCGUAGAGCAAUAAUUUAAUGAAACAAUAAUACUUUGCAGUGCUUUUUGAAUGUUCAAGCAUUUCUCAGUAAUUUCCAUCCCAAGAAUGAAUUCCAAAGCUUUAUUGCAGAACAUUCUUAAAUCUAGGUACAAUAACAAAAGACAAAGUAACAUAUUGUACUAAGGUAGGACACCCUGAAAAUCAUUGAGCUUUUUUUUAGGAAACCACCACUGAGCUUUUUUUGUUGAGCCAAAAAGACACAAUUUUUUAAUUGACUUUCCUAAAACAUUUCAGAAAUUUCCCACAGAUGUCAUUUCUGCCUUUGACAUCCCGGUACUGUCUGGGACAUAUGACAGCCCUAACUAAGGAGUGUGGUUCAAUCCGUUGUGCAGUUCAGUAAACUUUAUUCUCUCAGGUCUCAGAGAGAGCUCGGUUUCUGGGUGCUAAGUCAUCAGGUGGUUUAGUUCACUGAAAUGGAAAAACACCAACCUUCCACUUUCAUCCAGAGUGGAACCUAUUGCUGAAGGGAAAUUGACCUUUACAGCAUUAACAUACAUACAAGGCUCUCAAACACAGCUUUUUAUGUACAUUAAACUUAGAACUUUAACAGCUCUAUGUGAAACACAAAGUACCUUCAAACUACUUAGCUUUUUCUUGCUAUCUCGAAUUAGUGGGAGCAGAAGAUGCAAGUGUAGUUUUGUGAUUUAAUAGUACUUGUAGGAUACGUAUCCUUGGAAAUGGAUGGCACCUUUUCCUGCAGGACAUUCUGAAGUCAGCUCUGCAGUUUGCACAAUCCUGCACUGAUCCCCAUGACUGCCUUGUCAGUUAUAUAGAUGAAGGAAGGGGAAGAGAAGACUCAAGUCUCUGGCACACUGAAUGCAGAUACCAGAUGAUCAGCAUGAGUACAUCUGAACAGACUCAGUCCAUUUCAAAUGAGCUUCACAUAAAAUGCCUUGCCAUUGCCAUCGCCGUGGGAUGCUGCUUGUACAUCUGGUACAGUACUGAAUCCAGAGUGGGAAGCUUUCAUGUGAACAAUCAGAGAUUUCUCAUUUUGUGUUGACUUUGGUAAUGUAAACUGCAAGUUCAUCUCAGGGCAAGGAAAAAGGAAGAGACACAUCUUGGUGGAGCAUUCCUAUGGGUUAUGCCCACUUCUAUAACCUUAUCCCCAAAGUCACAGGGAGAAGUACUUCCCACUUCCCCAAUGGAACACUUCCCACUUACGUAUAUAUGAAAUUAUGUUAUGAUCUUCAGGCCUGUGUUACUCAUGUAAAUGCUCAAAUGUGCACAGGUGACCUAGGAAUAUUCAUAUGCUUUCUCUCAUGCACGUCAACUUUCUGCCUUAUUUCUCAUACAUUUGGAUAUUGUCUCCUGUGCAGUAAACCUGGAUGGCAGCUAACAUUACUGAGGGAACUAUCCAGCGAGAUCUGCUAUGCCUAGGGGCUACCUAUUAAUGCCACCAACUGAUCAAGAAGGACCAGCAUUUAUUGAUCUGUGACGUGCCACAAGAUUCUGUUGCUGGUGCCUUGAUUGGCAGACCUAUUUUUUUCUAGGGCACCAUUUGUCUUUCUUCCACAAGAAGACAUCUGCUAUUUUUGCUGCUUCUUGUUUCCUCUUCCCUUCUCUGGGCCUUUCUGGUGAACCUUUUGUAGUGCUGGUGUUUAGCUGAUUCAGGGCUCCAAAUGUCUUUCUUCAAGGAACUGCUUCUGUUUUGGAAUAUAACUUUUUUUCAGCCACUGAGGUAAAGGUAAAGGACCCCUGGAUGGUUAAGUCCAGUCGAAAUUGACUAUGGGGUGCAGCUCUCAACUUUGCUUUCAGGCCAAGGGAGCCAGCGUUCAUCUGCAGACAGCUUUCCUUGUCAUUUGGUCAGCAUGACUAAACCGCUUCUGAUGCAACGGAACACCAUGAUGGAAGCCAGAGUGCACAGAAACACCAUUUACCUUACCUCUGCUGUGGAACCUGUUUAUCUACUUGCACUGGUAUGCUUUCGAACUGCUUGGAUGGCAGAAGCUGGGACAGAGCAAUGAGAGCUCACCUCAUCAUGCAGAUUCAAACCACCGACCUUUCGAUCAGCAAGCCCAAGAAGCUUAGUGGUUUAGACCACAGCACCACCUGCAUCCCAUCAAUUCACUUCAGCCACUGAAGUUUUUUUGUUUGUUUUUUGCAGUGCAAAUGCAAUUCCCCUUGAUACCCGCUACACCCCCCACAGUUUGUUAACAUAGAUAUUGCUUUGUCCUACAAAUGCCACAGAUGCUUAUUCAGUUAAUGCUGUAACAUCACUGGUGGCAAAGAAGUUUGCUUUACCACAGCUAUAAACAAAGAAAGUAAAGAUGGCAGCAUAUUUUCCUAAACAAAAUAAAAACAACAAUUAAACACUAACAAAUAUAUUGUGGCAGAAGCUUUUGUAUAUUACUGUCCACUUUGUCAGAUACAUAACGUAUUGUCCUAAGUUAGGGUAGGGUGGAUGGGUAGUAAACGAAUGAGGUCAGAGGGAAAUGAAAUGCUGAAAAAUACAGACAUUGAUAAUUAUGUGUUGAAUGUUUGUGACCAAUAACCUGUUGGGUUACUUUGUGCGGUGAGAAGUUCAGCAAAGCUAUUAAACUUCCCACAGUGGACAAAGUG